GACGAACCGUGCGAACGUUAUUCGGAAUCACUGGGCUUAAAGGGCGCGUAGGCGGGCCGGGUAGUCAGGGGUGAAAGCCUCCAGCCCAACUGGAGAAGCGCCUUUGAUACUGUCGGCCUCGAGGGGUGCAGGGGCAUGCGGAACUCAGGGUGGAGCGGUGAAAUGCGUAGAUAUCCUGAGGAACACCGGUGGCGAAAGCGGCGUGCUGGACACCUUCUGACGCUGAGGCGCGAAAGCCAGGGGAGCGAACGGG
rnacentral:rRNA from 1 species